rnacentral:rRNA from 1 species
GACGAACGCUGGCGGCGUGCUUAACACAUGCAAGUCGAACGGAAAGGCCCUGCUUUUGUGGGGUGCUCGAGUGGCGAACGGGUGAGUAACACGUGAGUAACCUGCCCUUGACUUUGGGAUAACUUCAGGAAACUGGGGCUAAUACCGGAUAGGAGCUCCUGCUGCAUGGUGGGGGUUGGAAAGUUUCGGCGGUUGGGGAUGGACUCGCGGCUUAUCAGCUUGUUGGUGGGGUAGUGGCUUACCAAGGCUUUGACGGGUAGCCGGCCUGAGAAGGUGACCGGGCACCAUGGGACUGAGAUACGGCCCAGACUCCUACGGGAGGCAGCAGUGGGGAAUAUUGCACAAUGGGCGGAAGCCUGAUGCAGCAACGCCGCGUGCGGGAUGACGGCCUUCGGGUUGUAAACCGCUUUCGCCUGUGACGAAGCGUGAGUGACGGUAAUGGGUAAAGAAGCACCGGCUAACUACGUG